GACAAGUCUUUGGCCUCUGUGUUCUGCAGCAAUAUGCUGAGCAGUUUUUGGGAAAUAACUUAUUUUUAUGAGCGGUAAUCCGUCUCGCCACUGCUGUCUGACCAAUAUAUAAUGAAUAGAAAAAGGAAAGAAAAAAAGGGAUUCAUGGGAUAUAGUUGCCAUGUAUCCAUGACAUCAUUUCAGAGGACUUCAGUCCGACGUGUGCCAUCAUAUUCUCAUACACCGUCCAUGUCAUGGCGGCCAUCAUGGUCCUCCUCAGUGACCGAGGAACUGCCCCUCUGAAGAAGCCCUGGAUCCCGUGUUCCUGAGAGCGCGGACAAGCACGGGGCUGCGGAUUCACUUGGACCUGUGUCUUGACCACGUCGGCAGGCUGAGUGAUCACGGAGGCCAACACACCCGCGAGGAUCCCGCAGCCGAAGUGAGCCAGGGCAGCCGACGGAGAAUCGCCGAUUUCUUAAAGCAGCGAGGCCUUGGUCUGGCUGUAGAACAUGACGUAGAUGCCAGAGAAGGGAACGUCUCUGAGGAGCGUUGCCGUGACGCCAGAGAACAGAGCGGCAGGUCCCUCAGUCUGACACACACUGCGCAGAGCCCCGACCACACUCCUGUAACCGUACCUGCCACACUGACACACAACCAUACACAUAUUUAAAAUAAAGACAACACCAAGAUAAAACCACGUCAAACAAAGCCCUCCUGAAUGUGAGAGGUAUAAAAAAUCAUGGCAUUCUGAUGUUUGUCUCCUUUUUGAUCUUUAUACUCAUUUACAACAACAAAAAAUGUAAUAAGACAAACUAAUAGAUGCCUUCUAUCUUUUGUCUGUGCACGCAGUUUCGUGGAUAUCAAUUGGAUCCUAGUGGGUUAAACAAAGACUGCCGAUAAGCUCAGCUAAUUUGAAAACAAUAAAUUCAAAAAAAGUUUUAUAAGAAUUCAUUUUAAAGUUGAAUUCACAUAUUCAGUCAGUAAAAACACAGUCAUCAUAUGGUUGAGGUCAGCCCUGUGAUGGCCACACACACACUUGUUAUAAUAUCAGAGUUUCUGCUAUAUAACUGGAAAACAUAUAUUUUAAACUUAUUUCUUAUGAUUUGUGGCUGAUCAAGUGUUUUAAGGCCCUGCUCAGAGUCUCUUAAUAUUGUGUAUGAGCUGAUACCGAGUUCAAUCCCAUACUAAACUUACUUCACGUAGGUGUUGAUGAAAGUGCCUGUGUAUCUGACACAGUAAAGUAACACAGCCGUAGACUGGUUAAUCUAACACACCUUGGUUAUAUAAGCUUUUUGCUCCAAAAACUGGAGGUCAUGGCCCGUUAUCUUAAUUUAUUUUUUAUGAUACGAAUGAAAGUUCACUUUGGAGAACCCCGUCCCUGACAGUGACGUUAAGGGAAACGCUGAGACAUCUCACUCUGUUGGAUUUGUUGGAGCAGCAGAAAAACCCAGUUGAUUUCUGUUUGUACAGGUCUGUUAGAGAGUGGUGGUUCUUCUCUCAAAACUUAUCUUUACAGAUGGUCUUGUUCCAAAUCAGCUAACACCGCCUAAUGCAAAAAUGAGGUGUUAAAUAACAACCAACUUGAGUUCACCUGACCGAGCUAUGGAGGCACAUCUGACCAAAGAAAGUUACAAACUGCAGGUUUAAGUCACGGUACUGUUUUUUUAGGGAUAAAACAAAGAAGGUGCCGAACACACACACGCAGGCCUGUGCUUACUUCAAAGCGCGUCUUGAUGACAGUGACUGGCAGCAUGAAGACCCCUGCCACCGUCCGGGCCCCUCCUCCCAGCAGCACGGCCCCCAUGGCCCCCGGAGUGCUGUCCUGGAAGAAGUGCUGCUUCAGAGAGUAGUAGGUGCUGAAGUAGAGCCCCACACCCGGGAUGGUCCGAGCAAAGGACUGGAAGAUCAAAUGCACGAGAGAGCAGAGUCAGAAAAGGGGGAACAUCU